UAAUACGAAGGGGGCUAGCGUUGUUCGGAAUUACUGGGCGUAAAGCGCGCGCAGGCGGUCUUCCAAGUCAGUGGUGAAAGCCCGGAGCUCAACUCCGGAACUGCCAUUGAAACUGUUAGACUUGAGGACGAGAGAGGUGAGUGGAAUUCCCAGUGUAGAGGUGAAAUUCGUAGAUAUUGGGAAGAACACCGGUGGCGAAGGCGGCUCACUGGCUCGUAUCUGACGCUCAGGCGCGAUAGCGUGGGGAUCAAACGGGA
rnacentral:rRNA from 1 species